rnacentral:rRNA from 1 species
CCAGACUCCUACGGGAGGCAGCAGUGGGGAAUAUUGCACAAUGGGCGAAAGCCUGAUGCAGCGACGCCGCGUGAGGGAUGACGGCCUUCGGGUUGUAAACCUCUUUCAGCAGGGAAGAAGCCACAAGUGACGGUACCUGCAGAAGAAGCGCCGGCUAACUACGUGCCAGCAGCCGCGGUAAUACGUAGGGCGCAAGCGUUGUCCGGAAUUAUUGGGCGUAAAGAGCUCGUAGGCGGUUUGUCGCGUCUGCUGUGAAAGCCCGGGGCUUAACCCCGGGUGUGCAGUGGGUACGGGCAGACUAGAGUGCAGUAGGGGAGACUGGAAUUCCUGGUGUAGCGGUGGAAUGCGCAGAUAUCAGGAGGAACACCGAUGGCGAAGGCAGGUCUCUGGGCUGUUACUGACGCUGAGGAGCGAAAGCAUGGGGAGCGAACAGGAUUAGAUACCCUGGUAGUCCAUGCCGUAAACGUUGGGCACUAGGUGUGGGGGACAUUCCACGUUUUCCGCGCCGUAGCUAACGCAUUAAGUGCCCCGCCUGGGGAGUACGGCCGCAAGGCUAAAACUCAAAGGAAUUGACGGGGGCCCGCACAAGCGGCGGAGCAUGCGGAUUAAUUCGAUGCAACGCGAAGAACCUUACCAAGGCUUGACAUAUACCGGAUCGUUCCAGAGAUGGUUCUUCCCCUUUGGGGUCGGUAUACAGGUGGUGCAUGGUUGUCGUCAGCUCGUGUCGUGAGAUGUUGGGUUAAGUCCCGCAACGAGCGCAACCCUCGUUCCAUGUUGCCAGCACGUGAUGGUGGGGACUCAUGGGAGACUGCCGGGGUCAACUCGGAGGAAGGUGGGGAUGACGUCAAAUCAUCAUGCCCCUUAUGUCUUGGGCUUCACGCAUGCUACAA